rnacentral:rRNA from 1 species
AUUAAUAAGCGGAGGAAAAGAAACUAACAAGGAUUCCCCUAGUAACGGCGAGUGAAGAGGGAAUAGCCCAGCACCGAAUCCCCCUCCCUAGCAGGUGGCGGGACCUGUGGUGUUUAGGAGAGCCUCUGCGGCGACCUCGGGUGUCCGAGUCCUCCUGAUCGGGGCUUCACCCAGAGCGGGUGGCAGGCCUCUACGGCCCCCGUGGACGUCGCUUUGAGCCUCCUUGGAGUCGGGUUGUUUGGGAAUGCAGCCCAAAGUGGGUGGUAAACUCCAUCUAAGGCUAAAUACCGACACGAGUCCGAUAGCGGACAAGUACCGUGAGGGAAAGUU